GAUAAGAACGUAGCGAAAUGCGAUAAGUAAUGUGAAUUGCAGAAUUCAGUGAAUCAUCGAAUCUUUGAACGCACAUUGCGCCCGCCAGUAUUCUGGCGGGCAUGCCUGUUCGAGCGUCAUUUCAACCAUCAAGCCCCCGGGCUUGUGUUGGGGACCUGCGGCUGCCGCAGGCCCUGAAAAGCAGUGGCGGGCUCGCUGUCACACCGAGCGUAGUAGCAUACAUCUCGCUCUGGGCGUGCUGCGGGUUCCGGCCGUUAAACCACCUUUUAACCCAAGGUUGACCUCGGAUCAGGUAGGAAGACCCGCUGAACUUAAGCAUAUCAAUAAGCGGAGGA
rnacentral:misc_RNA from 1 species